GAUGAACGCUAGCGGGAGGCCUAACACAUGCAAGCCGAGCGGUAGAGUUCCUUCGGGAACUUGAGAGCGGCGUACGGGUGCGUAACACGUGUGCAACCUACCUUUAUCUGGGGGAUAGCCUUUCGAAAGGAAGAUUAAUACCCCAUUAUAUAUUGAAUGGCAUCAUUUAAUAUUGAAAACUCUGGUGGAUAGAGAUGGGCACGCGCAAGAUUAGAUAGUUGGUGAGGUAACGGCUCACCAAGUCUGUGAUCUUUAGGGGUACUGAGAGGGAGAUACCCGACACUCGUACUGAGACACGGACCAGACUCCUACGGGAGGCAGGAGUGAGGAAAAUUGGCCAGUGAGUGAGAGACUGAUCCAGCCAUCCCGCGUGAAGGAUGACGGUCCUAUGGAUUGUAAACUUCUUUUGUGCAGGAAUAGGCCUAUUUACGUGUAAAUAGCUGAAGGUACUGUACGAAUAAGCACCCGCUAACUCCGUGCCAUCCGCCGCGGUAA
rnacentral:rRNA from 1 species